UGAACAUAAAAUCUCAAUCUCCACAGGAGAGACUAAAUCUGUUGUUUGUCAAUUGAAGAACGAGUUUUCUGAACUGGCUUCCAAUGGGAAACACCAUUUUGACUCCGGUGCAAAUCAUGGUGCAGUAGAGAUGGAAACUAAGCCUGUAGCGGAUUCUCCCAUUGACGAUAGAUCCCUGUCUAGCACAGAGGAUGUACACACAGUAAAUAAAAAUGCUGAUGUGGCUUGUAUUGAAGCUGUCCCUCCCAUGACAGAGAGAACUGUUGAUAACUCCAGUGAGAAGGUUGACAAAGGUCCAGUCUUGUCUGUUUCCACGUCCAGUGGCACUGAUGGGUAUUCCGUGCAAGUUAAAUUUGAGCCAAAGGAUGAAGUAGCCUUUGAGGGGGGAAGCAAAUUAGAUGUGGCUUCAGAAGCUGUUUCUGAA
rnacentral:misc_RNA from 1 species